rnacentral:SRP_RNA from 1 species
GGUCCGUCCUCUGGGAGUCUGCAUGGUGUGAACCGGGUCAGGCCCUGACGGGAGCAACCCUAAGCAUUGUGUAGGCUGUUCGGAGGGUGGCGGACCUGA